rnacentral:piRNA from 1 species
UAUUUGAGUGGAACUUUUUGUAGGAAAUAA